AUUAAGCACCUGGUGAGAGGGCAGGGCUAACCCAGGGGAGCUCAGGUGCAUGCAAUGUGCUGACUGAUGGAAGGGGUCUAGCCAGGAUCCACCCCUUCCCAGCCCUCAUUUAAGGGUUGGCAGUGAGAGAAGGGGGUCUCACUGAAGAUCCCUGCCUACCUGAGGCUUCCUGAAGACACACGCUCAGCCCUCUGCCCCACACCCCCACCGCUCCCUUGGAUGGAGAUCUGAAGGAUGAUGAGUUCCCAUGCUGUGCCAACGUCCUCCGAGCCGAGCGCGCUCCUCCGUUCCGCACCCUGCGCUGUGCCACCUACCUCUGGCUGCAUCCCAGCGCUCUGAUGAUGCCGACUGUUCUGAGAGAUUGUCCUUGUCCCAGGAGGGGCAGAAGCCCCUCUGAGGGUACAGAUGCUACAUGUGGAUGAGGCUCAGCCCAUCCCCCUCUGCUAACAGAGGUGCUGCCCACCUGGGCAAAAUGCUACAGGACAGAACCUGGGGAAAAGCUGCAAGCCCUGUGAGUUUCCUGAUCUCUGUUACGGUCAAGGUGCAUUCUGUGCUUCCAGUGAUCAUCCCUCCUCACUCCAGGUCGAUUCCAAUCUCUCCUAUAUCUGUGGGGCCGGCUCGGCAGUGGGUUUGUCGCUGGGGGUGCUGGCUGCUACCCUACAGAAACUCAGGCUGACACGAGAACAGUACAUGGCUGGGCAGCAGAGCCACCCCUAUGAGGUUGGGUCCUGCAGAGCCGCCCACAGCCACAGCUGUGCCACCACCAGAAGACUUGCUUGGGCUCGGCUGUCUGCUGAAGAGCUGGAGACUGCAAAAUGAAAAAAGGUUACGUGUAUCGAUGCAACAGACACUUGCAAGUUAGGUGGGACCUGCAGGCACCCCCUUCCACAGACCCCAAUGAGCUGAUCACCUCUCAGCUGGGAAGCCCAUCAACAAGCCACUGCCCAGUCUGCCUUGCUCCUCCAUAUAGCCCAGCUCCUCUGCAGAUACUGAUGCGUGCUGCCAAACCCACACCGCCCCAAGCAAAGCCCCACGUGCUCCCUGUAGACUGACUGCCUGACGAGCCCUUCAUGGUAAAGCAGCACCAGAUUUGCAGCACUCCAUGUCCGCACAGCCAAAUGCCUCCAUCCCACUCCAGCUAACCCAAGGCGUGCAUUAUCCAAGCCUCAUAUCUGUCCGGAUCCAAAAAAAGGCUGCCUUCCCUCCUUCUCUGGAUGCCAGCAGCCUCUCUGUUGCACAGAUGUCCCUGCCCACCCCACACGAUGACAGGGCCAAGCCCUGGUGCUUACCCCUGCAGCUCUUGCCGUCCCCUUGCAGUGUCCCUGUCACACAGCUGCACAGGGGUCCAUCGGCUUGACUCGUGCAGAUCUGCUCACAGCCACCGUUGUCCUCACACCAGUCUGAUCCUUUGUGCAUGACAGAUAGUGAGAGAUGCUGC